rnacentral:misc_RNA from 1 species
AUCAAAAGCUUUAAGGAAAGCUCUUUGUUUUUUGAAAGGGUGCUUUUAUGAGAUAGAGAUUUUUUAGAUAAUGCUUUUUUAGAUAAUGCUGGGGAAGGUUUUCCGGUUUAUCUCGGAGGGCUUGUAGCUCAGUUGGUUAGAGCGCGCGCUUGAUAAGCGUGAGGUCGGAGGUUCAAGUCCUCCCAGGCCCACCAAUUUACCUAUCCUUUUGCCUUUAUCUGUUUAUUUGCCGAUUUAUCGGUCCAUUGAAUUUAAGUGUUGGUAGCAGUUUUAUAAUGAUGAGAAAUCAUGCUUAUAAAAGAACUCCUUAUAAAAGGCUUGUUUUUAAAAUGUGACGCUUAUCCAUUUCGCUUAGGCAAGAGAAACUUCAAGCGGUUCAAAUACAAAAGGCUUUAAGUUUUGCAAAACACUUUGAAUUUUGCAAAACACUUUGAAUUUUGCAAAACACUUUGAAUUUUAAAGUGAUCCAAGUUCGUGAUCUCGAAUUUAAAAGUUUCGAAUGCUUUAUCCUUUUUUGGGGGCCGUAGCUCAG